UUCAUUCCAAGAAACACUCCUUCCAAAACAGCUAAGCCAGCUGGAAUGAAGUAUUGGGAUGAGAGAAGCAGAGAGAGGUAGGGCAGGAGCGAGUGAGUUACAGAAGAGAUGAGGAAAAAGCUGAUUGCCCUCCAGGAAAUGCAUGGUGUGACUACAGCAGAGACCUCCAGAUUCCUCCUGGGGCAGAAGACGUGCGUUGCUAGGAGAUGGUUGUUGGGCUGGUGUUGCCAUGUGUGGAUGCUGUUGCCUGCCAUGCUCUGAUGUGCAAAAGGACAAGGAUUCAAUAGUCUUUCAGGGAGCAUGUGUGAAAGGACCUUAAGAGGAAAAUAAUGGGGAAAAAAAAACAACAACUCUGGUCUAUCAUCAUCAUCAUCAUCAAAAAUCGUAAUCAUCAACAACAUCAUCGUUAACAUCGUCAUCAUCGCCAUCAAGGACUAAGUAAUGACUUUGCCUGUCUCUAGAGGGCACCCUCAGCACCUGAGUCACAGGACCAAUAGAGCCAGAUUUUUGUCAUUGGAACUGUGACCAAUCCAACAUUUGUGGUUGCCAGGAAUAGAUGUCACAGGCGCUUGAUUGGAGGUGGUCAGUGUGGCCUCCUUAGAGCUGAUGACUCAACGGGAGAGACACGCCAUGAAUAUCGACACAGAGUUCACAGAUCAGGGAACAGCAAUGGCGCCAGAUUGCAGAGAAAUGUUCCCACAUGCACCUGGCCACAAAUGUCCACACAGACUGAGAGAUAACACAGAGUGGCAGAUAAGGCACAGGGUGAUUGGGGAGUUGUGUUGGUCUGCGGAGGCAGGCUGCAGCCAGGGCUGUGAGGGGCUCAACUUGGUUCUGCUCUGGUUCUGGUGCUGGCUGACCAGAAGCUCCCUGCGGCUCGGGCCCAACUCCAGGACGGGCAGUAG